GGAUGAGCCCUGGCACAGGGAGUACUGGAUGGCAUCAGGCAGCCAGGGAGGCUCUGGCAGCACAAUUCUUGCGUAAAGGUCAAGAUACCAUUAACCAAAGAAAAGCCCUGCUGCUGAACUGCCUCAGACCACACGGUCUCCUAAGAGAAAGUCAGCUUGCUCAUCUUUCCCUUGAGUAAAUGAAGUUACAAACUUAUACAAAGGUUUCAGAGGCACGGACAAUGCUGAGCAGCUGUGUAUGUAACAGUUGCAGCUCAAAAGUACAAUUAGUCUAAUGUGGGCAUCAAAACAGAGAAAAGGAUGAUCAGGGAAAAGAAAGAGAAGAAUGCAAGCAAGCAUUCAGUGACAGAAGACAAUCAUUAGCACUGGCCAAUCCCACAGUCAGAAAGAGGCCAGUGCCAUUUGGAAAGUAAUGACAUGGCCUCGGGGAAGGUGUGUGUGUGUAUGUACGUGUGAAGUAGGCACUAAAAGAAAAUGAGCCUUGCUGCAUUAAUUGGCCUCACACUUUCCCUGUAAUUUCUCAUGAGUUCCCUGCUCUCCUCUAAUCAUGCACACUCUGAGUACUUCCCCCUUCAGUUAUCUCCUUACAACUGCUAAUUUGAUGCCAUAUAAUUAAUUUUACAAAUGUACAUUGUUAUGAAACAAUUUUCUACUCUUUAAAAUGAUAAACUUUCUACUCACAAAAACAUUUUUGAAACCUUGAUGGCUUUUAAAAACCUGCUUUUAAAAAAUGCAGAAGAGAGAAGAUGCCAGAAGAAAAGAUGCAUCCAAAAAUGGUUCUGCCCUCACAUUGGGACAGAGCAAACUGCAGAGAUGCUUUCUGCUUACUUUGGAAGUGGCCUUAAAGUCUCAGCUGUGCUCCUGCUCAGGAAUCCUUUCAGACACUUCUGGCAAUGCCCUCUUGGCUUCACUUGUCUUAAUUUCAGGCUUACCUUGUUAUGGAAAACCUUUAAGGCCCUUUCUCACAGGAAGAGGUCUUGCUAUGGCUGGAGUUUCACUGAACUCAACUCCUGGCAUGAGUUAGGUCAGGUCUGUCUGUAUGAAUCGCAAAUUUCCAUGUUACUGGGGAAAAUAAUUAAGCUGAAGCAACUAGUCUUAGGCUUUGUACUAGUCUAAUUCACCAGCCUGGGUCUUUGGUAACCUAGAUCCAGCCAGGAGCAAAGCUCCUUCUCCUGCAUUCCCAAGUGUCUUCUCACAGGGUAGCAUUCCCAACAGGCUCCUUCCUAACCCAAAGGUGAUUAGGGCAAGUGGCGUGUUGAAAAUGGCCUGACAGGCAUCUCAGACCAUAUUCAGUGGGAGCACUGGCCUUUGAGGGUUUCCAGCUGAGGAGUAAGAAAAACAGCAGUGUAUUAAAAAAAAAAAAAAAAAAAUCAGCACAACCUGUUGCAGGUUUCUCAGCUUCUGCAUUGUUAAUCUGAUCUCUGACAGAACAGUUAUGAUUCACAGCACUACAGACUGGUCAGCAUUUCUGUAACAAAUGCUAUUAAAGAUUGGAUUUAGCUUUGUUUUCUUAAAUUGGUUCUGGGCUAUAACUGAAUGCACAAUAUCUGCAUUUUUGUGUUUAUCAAUGUAGGGAAAAAUAAAUAUGCAAGGCUUUUUUACACUACUUUAGAGCAGCUUUGAUGGAAAAAGAAAAUUAUAAAACACUCUACAGAUUAGCAAAAAAAACAAUAGUAGUAAAAAACCCCCAGAAACAAUAAACAAAAAAAGUGCACUAUCUCAUAAAUGCUGUGGUAAUACACAUAAUCACUCAA